AACGAACGCUGGCGGCAGGCCUAAUACAUGCAAGUCGAACGAGAAAUCAUCUUCGGAUGGUGGACAGUGGCAGACGGGUGAGUAUCGCGUGGGAACCUACCUUUCGGUACGGAAUAAGUUCGGGAAACCGGACGUAAUACCGUAUACGCCCUACGGGGGAAAGAUUUAUUGCCGAGAGACGGGCCCGCGUUGGAUUAGCUAGUUGGUAAGGUAACGGCUUACCAAGGCUACGAUCCAUAGCUGAUCUGAGAGGAUGAUCAGCCACACUGGGACUGAGACACGGCCCAG
rnacentral:rRNA from 1 species